rnacentral:rRNA from 1 species
CACGUAGGGCGCAAGCGUUGUCCGGAAUUAUUGGGCGUAAAGAGCUCGUAGGCGGUCUGUUACGUCUGCUGUGAAAACCCAGGGCUUAACCCUGGGCUUGCAGUGGAUACGGGCAGACUAGAGGCAGGUAGGGGAGAAUGGAAUUCCUGGUGUAGCGGUGAAAUGCGCAGAUAUCAGGAGGAACACCGAUGGCGAAGGCAGGUCUCUGGGCAUUAACUGACGCUGAGGAGCGAAAGCAUGGGGAGCGAACAGG